UGUUGAAAAAUAAAGUACUGG
rnacentral:piRNA from 1 species